AUUGAACGCUGGCGGCAGGCCUAACACAUGCAAGUCGAACGGUAACAGGAAGCAGCUUGCUGCUUUGCUGACGAGUGGCGGACGGGUGAGUAAUGUCUGGGAAACUGCCCGAUGGAGGGGGAUAACUACUGGAAACGGUAGCUAAUACCGCAUAACGUCGCAAGACCAAAGAGGGGGACCUUAGGGCCUCUUGCCAUCGGCUGUGCCCAGAUGGGAUUAGCUAGUAGGUGGGGUAACGGCUCACCUAGGCGACGAUCCCUAGCUGGUCUGAGAGGAUGACCAGCCACACUGGAACUGAGACACGGUCCAGACUCCUACGGGAGGCAGCAGUGGGGAAUAUUGCGCAAUGGGCGCAAGCCUGAUGCAGCCAUGCCGCGUGUAUGAAGAAGGUCUUCGGGUUGUAAAGUACUGUCAGCGGGGAGGAAGGGAGUAAAGUUAAUACCUUUGCUCAUUGACGUUACCCGCAGAAGAAGCACCGGCUAACUCCGUG
rnacentral:rRNA from 1 species